rnacentral:rRNA from 1 species
AUUGAACGCUGGCGGCAGGCCUAACACAUGCAAGUCGCACGAGUGGCGGACGGGUGAGUAAUGUCUGGGAAACUGCCCGAUGGAGGGGGAUAACUACUUGAAACGGUAGCUACUACCGCAUACCAUUGGAUGUGCCCAGCUGGGAUUAGCUUGUAGGUGAGGUAACGGCUCCCCUAGUCGACGAUCCCUAGCUGGUCUGAGCGGAUGACCAGCCACACUGGAACUGAGCCACGGUCCAGACGCCUACGGGAGGCAGCAGUGGGGAAGAUUGCACAAUGGGCGCAAGCCUGAUGAAGCCAUGCAGCGUGUAUGAAGAAGGCCGUCGGGUUGUAAAGUACUUUCAGCGGGGAGGCGUUACCCGCAGAAGAAGCACCGGCUAACUCCGUGCUAGCAGCCGCGGUAAUUC